rnacentral:rRNA from 1 species
UACGUAGGGGGCAAGCGUUGUCCGGAAUCAUUGGGCGUAAAGAGCGCGUAGGCGGUCCGGUAAGUCGGUUGUGAAAACUGGGGGCUCAACCCUCAGAGGCCGACCGAUACUGUCGGGCUAGAGUCCGGAAGAGGCGAGUGGAAUUCCUGGUGUAGCGGUGAAAUGCGCAGAUAUCAGGAGGAACACCAAUGGCGAAGGAAGCUCGCUGGGACGGUACUGACGCUGAGGCGCGAAAGCGUGGGGAGCAAACAGG